rnacentral:rRNA from 1 species
AGUAACGCGUGAGGAACCUGCCUCAAAGAGGGGGGACAACAGUUGGAAACGACUGCUAAUACCGCAUAAGCCCACGGCUCGGCAUCGAGCAGAGGGAAAAGGAGCAAUCCGCUUUGAGAUGGCCUCGCGUCCGAUUAGCUAGUUGGUGAGGUAAUGGCCCACCAAGGCGACGAUCGGUAGCCGGACUGAGAGGUUGAACGGCCACAUUGGGACUGAGACACGGCCCAG